AUGUCCAAGAAAAUUAAGUUAGUGACCAAGGAUAUACAUGCAUUGUGCGAUAUGCUCUCCAAAUUGCUCAGUGUUACACCCCAUAGCAGCACAACUGUAACCCUAACACGGCCUCUUGUAGGAUCAACGAUUUCACAAGAUAGACUGUAUGGUAGAGAGGACAUUUUUGAGAAAACCAUAAAUUGUAUCACCAGCUGCUGUGAAACCCUUUCUAUUCUUCCCAUAGUUGGACCAGGCGGUAUUGGAAAAUCAACACUUACUCAACACCUGUAUAAUGACACAAGGACCCGAGAACACUUUAGUGCCAGGGUCUGGAUAUCUGUAUCCACUGAUUUCGAUGUGCUUAAGCUAAACCAGCAAAUCCUAAGCUGCAUGCCUGCUACUGAAGAAGAAGAAAGCAAAACUACACAUGAAACAAAUAGCUUAAGCAGCAUUCAAGAAUACAUUGCACAGAGACUGAGAUCUAAAAGGUUUUUAGUUGUCUUGGAUGAUGUAUGGAAAUGUGAUAAUAUGUCUGAAUGGAAAAGUCUGUUAGCUCCGUUCACAAAGGGGGAAGCCAAAGGCAGCAUGAUAAUUGUCACAACUCGGUUUCCAAAACUAGCAGAUAUGAUGAAAACAGUUGAUCAACUACCACUAGAACUGCAAGGUUUGGAGCCUAAUGACUUCUUCGCAUUCUUUGAAGAACGUAUCUUUGGUGAACUCGACAGACCUGAAGGUUACAUUGACAUUUUGAGUGGUAUCGCAAGAGAAAUUGCAUAUAAGUUAAUGGGUGACCCUCUAGCAGCCAAAACAGCCAGUCGACUAUUGAGGAAAAACAUGUCUCAGGAACAUUGGAUGGCAGUUCUUGAACACAAGGAAUGGGAAUGUAGUAAAGACGGUGACGAUAUUAUGUCAUCACUGUACACUAGCUACGACUACCUCCCUUUUCUCCUGCAAAAAUGCUUUUCCUACUGUGCCCUUUUCCCAAAAGGUCAUAGGUUUAGUCAUUUAGAAAUGAAUCGUUUUUUGACUGCGGUAGGCAUCAUAGACUCUACUCACCAAGACGAUACAAAUUAUUUGGAAGAACUAGUGGACAAUGGUUUUCUUCUUAAGGCAGAUGAUUUGAUUGGUCAAAACUAUAUAAUGCAUAAGUUAUUGCAUGACCUAUCUCAAAAGGUUUCAGUACAAGAAUGCCUCAACAUAAGUGGAUCAGAUUUUAAAUCUGACACAGUUCCACAAUCUAUUCGACACCUGUCUAUCACUUUGAAAGAUACAUAUGAUGAAAAUUUUCUUGAAGAAGUGAGUAAACUAAAAACUAGGAUAGACAUUGCAAAUUUACGGACUUUGAUGAUUUUCUGUGAAUAUCAAGGAAAUUUUGCUGGUAUUUUAAAAGAUACGUUUGAGGAAGUAGAUAGUCUGCAUGUCCUAUUUAUAGUUGUGAAAUCCCUGGAUGAUUUGCCAAAAGGCUUUUCAAAACUUAUCCACCUCCAGUACCUCAAACUUGGAUCACCUUAUGGCAUAGAGAUGGCAUUACCUAGCACACUAUCAAGAUUUUAUCACUUGAAAUUCUUAGACCUAGAAGAUUGGCAUGGUAGUUCUAAUGUUCCAAAAGACAUUAACCGCCUUGUGAAUUUGCAAGACUUCAUUGCUAAGAAAGAACUCCACUCCAGUGUUCCUGAGGUUGGAAAGAUGAAGUAUCUACGGGAACUAAAAGAAUUCUGUGUUAAGAAAGAGAGUGUUGGAUUUGAAUUAAGAGAGCUGGGGGAAAUGACAGAGCUUGGAGGAGAACUCAGAAUAUGCAAUCUCGAAAAGGUAGCAACCAAAGAAGAAGCUAGUGAAGCCAAACUGAAGUCCAAAAGGAAUCUGAAGAAGUUAACAUUAGUUUGGGGCAGUGAAGAACGGACUGUAGAUGGUGAUGUUCUUGAUGGUCUUCAACCACAUCCUGAUCUUAGAGAGCUUUGCAUUGCAAAUCAUGGUGGUGCUGUUGGUCCCAGCUGGUUGUGUGUUGACAUUUUGCUGAAACAGCUAGGGGCUCUCCAUCUGGAAGGGUUGUCUUGGGACACUCUUCCACCUUUUGGGCAGCUACCAUACCUCACCAAACUCGUUUUGAAGAAGAUUUCUGGAGUGCGUCAGUUGAGAAUACAGGACAUGGCAUCGCUGGAGUCAUUGAUGAUAUGUAGAUGUGGCAACUUCUUCUCUGGGUGUUCCGUGGAAGAAGCAGGAGGAGGAACUGGGACAAUGAAGCCUUUCCCUGCUUCCCUCAAGAAGCUUGGUAUUUCAACUGAGUCAAGCAUACAGUCAAUGGCUCUGCUCUCAAACCUCACGUCUCUCACCCAUCUGACACUAAAAGAUUGUGUCAAGUUAACAGUGGAUGGAUUCAAUCCGCUGAUCACAGUAAACCUGAAGGUAUUGGUGGUAUUUAACUGCAGAUGGGACAGAAGUUGUCCUGAAUCUAUAGCAGCGGAUCUGCUCUCAGAGGUGGCAAGUAGCAGAGUAAUGCCUGCAGGAUCCUUCCAAUUGGAACAGCUCAAGGUGGAGAGCAUCUCGGCAGUGCUUGUCGCUCCCAUCUGCAACCUCAUUGCCACUACCAUCCACACAGUGAUCUUCUGCCAUGAUCACCGGGUCAAAAGCUUCACGGAAGAGCAAGAAAAGGCGCUUCAGCUCCUCACAUCACUCCGACACCUCGGAUUUGAUGGUUGUGGGGCUCUGCAGUCCCUCCCACGAGGGUUGCAUCGCCUUUAUUCACUGGAGAACUUAGAGGUCCUUUGGUGUUGUGAAGUCCAAUCCAUACCCAAGGAGGGCUUCCCUGUUUCACUGCAAAACCUACGCAUAAGGCCUUGCAGGACCGAGGUUAAGGAGCAAAUUGAGAAAAUCAGAAUAACAAACCCGGAUUUAUCUGUACAGUACGAGUAA
rnacentral:rRNA from 1 species